GAUGAACGCUGGCGGCGUGCCUAAUACAUGCAAGUCGAGCGAACAGAUGAGGAGCUUGCUCCUCUGACGUUAGCGGCGGACGGGUGAGUAACACGUGGAUAACCUACCUAUAAGACUGGGAUAACUUCGGGAAACCGGAGCUAAUACCGGAUAAUAUAUUGAACCGCAUGGUUCAAUAGUGAAAGACGGUUUUGCUGUCACUUAUAGAUGGAUCCGCGCCGCAUUAGCUAGUUGGUAAGGUAACGGCUUACCAAGGCGACGAUGCGUAGCCGACCUGAGAGGGUGAUCGGCCGCACUGGAACUGAGACACGGUCCAGACUCCUACGGGAGGCAGCAGUAGGGAAUCUUCCGCAAUGGGCGAAAGCCUGACGGAGCAACGCCGCGUGAGUGAUGAAGGUCUUCGGAUCGUAAAACUCUGUUAUUAGGGAAGAACAAAUGUGUAAGUAACUAUGCACGUCUUGACGGUACCUAAUCAGAAAGCCACGGCUAACUACGUG
rnacentral:rRNA from 1 species